GGGGGUAGUUCGGAUCCUGGGCUGUGUCCUGGCGCCCUGUGCUCCCGGCCUGCACUGUUGGAUUUGCGGUCCAGGCCGGGUGCCCCCU
rnacentral:pre_miRNA from 1 species